AUGAGAAUCGUCAGUUGGAACUGCCGGGGACUCGGGAACGGCCCGGCAGUUCGUGGCCUCUUGGAUCUCAAGAGGGCGGAGGAUCCCGAUGUGGUGUUCUUGUGUGAGACUAAGUUGUUCGAAAAGGAGUUAGAGCGGUAUCGGUGGAAGUUGGGGUUGGUUAAUAUGUGUGUUAGGAACCCAGAAGGAAGAAGUAGGGGGCUAGCAAUACUGUGGAGGAGGGGAGUUAAUCUAUCUUUG
rnacentral:rRNA from 1 species